rnacentral:rRNA from 1 species
GAUAAACGCUGGCGGCGUGCCUAACACAUGCAAGUCGAACGCCCUUUUGCGCAAGUGAGAGGGAGUGGCGGACGGGUGAGUAGCACGUGGGUACCUACCCCAAGAUGAGGAAUACCACCGAGAAAUCGGUGACAAGACCGCAUACCUUCGGCCACGAAGAAAGCUUCUCCUCACGAGAGGCGUCUUGGGAUGGGCCUGCGCCUGAUUAGCUGGUUGGUGAGGUAACAGCUCACCAAGGCGACGAUCAGUAGCUGGUCUGAGAGGAUGAUCAGCCACACUGGGAUUGAGAACGGCCCAGACUCCUACGGGGGCAGCAGUG